UGAGGUUUCCGUUGGACCUCCGGAAGUGAACUGGUGACAAUGCGGCUUUAACAGUGCACAUAAGGGUAAUCUAUAAGUCGUAGCUUUGUUUAAUUGCAGAGUAAAAUUACCUAUGUACCGUGCACCAAGAGAUGGUGACCGAGGGAUCGCAUUGAAGCAAAAGCUCUCGACUUCUACAUUAACAGGAUGAGCGGAAGCAAAAACAGUCAGGAGAGAGAUAACGACAAAAAAGAAGAAAAAAAAGGAGAGAAGGGCUUUUAAAAAAAUUGAAAAAAGUACAUUGUUUUUUGCUUUGACAUUUGGCAACUUUCAAUACUUUGUUCUAUUAUCUUUUUUUACAUGGCAGGCUAUCUGGCGCUUUAGAGACGUGUUGUUCGCAAUGGCAGCCAGGAAAAACCACCAUAAACCAAUGAAAAAGCCCACGUUAAAGGGAGACAAUUUCAGAAGACCUCAAUGUUGUGGUGUUCGACCUGGAGACCAUACAGGGCUUUGAAAGGAUACAUACCUGAUACAGAUUGCAAGCGUUGGACCUAAAAAAGGACAUAGUUCUCGUUUUCCAUCCUUCUCCCCGGUUCCAUCAUCCUGCUGAUCAAAAGUGACUGGUCUUCCUCUUGGCACUACGCAAAGCAAGAAGCUUUUCAAGGGCGGGAGAGCUGUGGAAGCAGCCCCUUCUUGGUUUAUCCUCUACACAAACCGGCACUGUAAGCAGCUCACAACUGCCACUCCUUUGAUGCACCACGGAUCGUGCAUAACACACAACAGCAGCAGCUGUAUGGCUGACGACAAGGGCGGAUACAGGGGGGGGGGGGUGGAUUGGGUGGAUAUCCACCCCUUUUUUGAGUAGAAAAACGCUUGUUUGAAGAAAAUAAAUGCCUCAGCCUGCUUGA